GAGAGUUAAACAGUACGUGAAAUUGUUGAAAGGGAAACGAUUGAAGCCAGUCGUACCUUCGGGUAAUCAGCCUUUCGGGUGCGAUUAUGUGGAGUGUGAGGAGCUUAAACACCUUCAUGUUUUGCAUAUUCGUACUCUUGGGUGUACUUGCCCGUAUGGUUGGUUAACAUCAAUUUUGGUGGUCAUAAAAUGACUGGAGGAAUGUAGCUUCGAUCUCGUAUUGAAGUGUUAUAGCCUUCGGUAGAUGUGAUGAUCGAGAUUGAGGAUUGCAACGGAUACCCUUCGGGGCUACCUGUCUGAUCUCUGAUCGUUGUUCUGGUGCCGAAAGCUUGCUUACGGUUAUUAAAGUCGAUGGUCAAUAGGUUAGAACGGGUUAAAUUCGUUAAGGAUGUUGACGUAAUGGCUUUAAACGA
rnacentral:rRNA from 1 species